AUUGAACGCUGGCGGCAGGCCUAACACAUGCAAGUCGAGCGAGCGGCGGACGGGUGAGUAAUGUAUGGGGAUCUGCCCGAUAUACGGGGAUAACUACUGGAAACGGUGGCUAAUACCGCAUACUAUCGGUUCAACCCUUAGGGGAUUAGCUAGUAGGUGGGGUAAAGGCUCACCUAGGCGACGAUCUCUAGCGGGUCUGAGAGGAUGAUCAGCCACACUGGGACUGAGACACGGCCCAGACUCCUACGGGAGGCAGCAGUGGGGAAUAUUGCACAAUGGGCGCAAGGCUGAUGCAGCCAUGCCGCGUGUAUGAAGAAGGCCUUCGGAUUGUAAAGCACUUUAAGUUGGGAGGCGGUACCAACAGAAUAAGCACCGGCUAACUACGUGCCAGCAGCCGCGGUAAUAC
rnacentral:rRNA from 1 species